CUCUUCUAGGUGCAUUAACUGGAGCUAUAACCACUCCCCUUGAUGUGAUUAAAACCAGACUAAUGGUACAGGGAUCUGCCAACCAGUACAAAGGAAUUGUUGACUGUGUUCAGACUAUUGUGAGGGAAGAAGGACCUCCCGCUCUUUUGAAGGGUAUUGGACCAAGAGUGCUGUGGAUAGGGAUUGGAGGUUCAAUCUUUUUUGGUG